AAUUAAUUUGACUUCCAGCCCCACUGCCCCUCCCCAGAGGUCAGGGACUGGGACUGAAAGUUCUAACUCUCCGGUCAUGUGGUUGCUUCUCCUGGCAACCCGCCCACAUCCUCAGGAAGAUCCUGAGCAGGCCCACCUGUGAACAACUGCGCAGAGGAAGAAACUAACAGAUCCCCUCCAGUGUGUGGCCAAACCAGGACUUUAUCCCUCCUCUUCUAGUGUAAAAGAAGCCUGAAUUCUAGCUUGGGCAAGAUGCUCCUUUAGAACAUGAGUUUGCCAUUUUCUGUCUGCUGACUUUCUAAUAAAACCGCUGUUCCUUGCCCAACACCUCAUAUCCUGAUUGACUGACCCGUCCUGCGGUGAGUGGGAUGAGCUUGAACUUAGUAACACAUUUUGGUAAAACCAGCCAGGAGUCUUUCUGCUUGUGACCAGCUGGCCUGGCAAUGAGGAAUUCUCAAGUAAGGCCAUAGCAGCUGCUGGUACCACUUGUCCUAAGUAUCUUCCCUUCAGAACUACCCAAAGCGACCCUGACUGCCCCAGCACUUGGCAACUGGAGCAAGGAAUUGAUAUCUGGGAGCUGAGGGGCUCCAUACAGCAGGGCUUUGAAAGAGUUUGAACAAGAUUCAAGAAAUUGAACAGAAACCAAAUGAAGACCCCUCUGAAUCUUUGAAAAAGAUUUAUCAGGCCUACAGAUGUUACACUGAUGCAGAUCCCAAGGUCCCUGAAAAUACUGGAAUGAUAACUUCAGAGCAGCUCAGAUGUCAGGAGAAAGCUGCAAAGAUUAGACGGCACAUUCGGAAGGAACAAUUCUCAGUCAGAGAUGUUGCUUUUAAAGUGUUCCAAAGGGAAGGACAGAAGAAAGAAGAUGCAAAAUGGAGCACCAUUUUUCUGGCAAUGGAUCCCCAGAAGGUGAGUGAACUCCAUAAAGGCAACCAGGAG
ensembl:lncRNA